rnacentral:snoRNA from 1 species
CACCUCCCAGGAUCGCAUCUGGAGAGCUUUUAAUACUCUGCCAGCUUCGGAAGCGGGAGGGAGAAAUACUGCAGAGGAAUACCCAUUCCAUUACUAGCUUGCAAGUGGCUAGUUAAUGGAAGUCAAUCUGCUACAGUU